UACGGAGGGAGCUAGCGUUGUUCGGAAUUACUGGGCGUAAAGCGCACGUAGGCGGACCUGCAAGUCGGGGGUGAAAGCCCGAGGCUCAACCUCGGAACUGCCUUCGAUACUGCGGGUCUCGAGUCCGGGAGAGGUGAGUGGAAUUCCUAGUGUAGAGGUGAAAUUCGUAGAUAUUAGGAAGAACACCAGUGGCGAAGGCGGCUCACUGGCCCGGUACUGACGCUGAGGCGCGAAAGCGUGGGGAGCAAACAGG
rnacentral:rRNA from 1 species